CCAGACUCCUACGGGAGGCAGCAGUGGGGGAUAUUGCACAAUGGGGGAAACCCUGAUGCAGCGACGCCGCGUGGGCGAAGAAGUAUUUCGGUAUGUAAAGCCCUAUCAGCAGGGAAGAAGAAAUGACGGUACCUGAGUAAGAAGCACCGGCUAAAUACGUGCCAGCAGCCGCGGUGAUACGUAUGGUGCAAGCGUUAUCCGGAUUUACUGGGUGUAAAGGGAGCGCAGGCGGCACGGCAAGCCUGAUGUGAAAGCCCGCGGCCCAACCGCGGGACUGCAUUGGGAACUACCGGGCUGGAGUGCCGGAGAGGUAGGCGGAAUUCCUAGUGUAGCGGUGAAAUGCGUAGAUAUUAGGAGGAACACCAGUGGCGAAGGCGGUCAACUGGACAGCAACUGACGCUGAGGCGCGAAAGCGUGGGGAGCAAACAGGAUUAGAUACCCCAGUA
rnacentral:rRNA from 1 species